GGGUUGUGAGGUUAAGCGACUAAGCGUACACGGUGGAUGCCCUGGCAGUCAGAGGCGAUGAAGGACGUGCUAAUCUGCGAAAAGCGCCGGCGAGGUGAUAUGAACCUUUGACCCGGCGAUGUCCGAAUGGGGAAACCCAGUGCAAUCCGUUGCACUAUCGUUAACUGAAUACAUAGGUUAACGAGGCGAACCGGGGGAACUGAAACAUCUAAGUACCCCGAGGAAAAGAAAUCAACCGAGAUUCCCCCAGUAGCGGCGAGCGAACGGGGAGCAGCCCGGAGUCUGAAUCAGCUUGUGUGUUAGUGGAACGGUCUGGAAAGUCCGACGGUACAGGGUGAUAGUCCCGUACACGAAAGCACACAUGCUGUGAACUCGAAGAGUAGGGCGGGACACGUGGUAUCCUGUCUGAAUAUGGGGGGACCAUCCUCCAAGGCUAAAUACUCCUGACUGACCGAUAGUGAACCAGUACCGUGAGGGAAAGGCGAAAAGAACCCCGGCGAGGGGAGUGAAAAAGAACCUGAAACCGUGUACGUACAAGCAGUGGGAGCCUCUUUAUGGGGUGACUGCGUACCUUUUGUAUAAUGGGUCAGCGACUUAUAUUCUGUAGCAAGGUUAACCGUAUAGGGGAGCCGAAGGGAAACCGAGUCUUAACUGGGCGUUAAGUUGCAGGGUAUAGACCCGAAACCCGGUGAUCUAGCCAUGGGCAGGUUGAAGGUUGGGUAACACUAACUGGAGGACCGAACCGACUAAUGUUGAAAAAUUAGCGGAUGACCUGUGGCUGGGGGUGAAAGGCCAAUCAAACCGGGAGAUAGCUGGUUCUCCCCGAAAGCUAUUUAGGUAGCGCCUCGUGAACUCAUCUUCGGGGGUAGAGCACUGUUUCGGCUAGGGGGCCAUCCCGGCUUACCAACCCGAUGCAAACUACGAAUACCGAAGAAUGUUAUCACGGGAGACACACGGCGGGUGCUAACGUCCGUCGUGAAGAGGGAAACAACCCAGACCGCCAGCUAAGGUCCCAAAGUCAUGGUUAAGUGGGAAACGAUGUGGGAAGGCACAGACAGCCAGGAUGUUGGCUUAGAAGCAGCCAUCAUUUAAAGAAAGCGUAAUAGCUCACUGGUCGAGUCGGCCUGCGCGGAAGAUGUAACGGGGCUAAACCAUGCACCGAAGCUGCGGCAGCGACGCUUAUGCGUUGUUGGGUAGGGGAGCGUUCUGUAAGCCGUUGAAGGUGUCCUGUGAGGGGUGCUGGAGGUAUCAGAAGUGCGAAUGCUGACAUAAGUAACGAUAAAGCGGGUGAAAAGCCCGCUCGCCGGAAGACCAAGGGUUCCUGUCCAACGUUAAUCGGGGCAGGGUGAGUCGACCCCUAAGGCGAGGCCGAAAGGCGUAGUCGAUGGGAAACAGGUUAAUAUUCCUGUACUUGGUGUUACUGCGAAGGGGGGACGGAGAAGGCUAUGUCAGCCGGGCGACGGUUGUCCCGGUUUAAGCAUGUAGGCGGAGGUUCCAGGUAAAUCCGGUACCUUAUUAACGCUGAGGUGUGAUGACGAGGCACUACGGUGCUGAAGUGAUAAAUGCCCUGCUUCCAGGAAAAGCCUCUAAGCAUCAGGUAACACGAAAUCGUACCCCAAACCGACACAGGUGGUCAGGUAGAGAAUACCAAGGCGCUUGAGAGAACUCGGGUGAAGGAACUAGGCAAAAUGGUGCCGUAACUUCGGGAGAAGGCACGCUGAUAUGUAGGUGAAGUCCCUGCGGACGGAGCUGAAAUCAGUCGAAGAUACCAGCUGGCUGCAACUGUUUAUUAAAAACACAGCACUGUGCAAACACGAAAGUGGACGUAUACGGUGUGACGCCUGCCCGGUGCCGGAAGGUUAAUUGAUGGGGUUAGCGGCAACGCGAAGCUCUUGAUCGAAGCCCCGGUAAACGGCGGCCGUAACUAUAACGGUCCUAAGGUAGCGAAAUUCCUUGUCGGGUAAGUUCCGACCUGCACGAAUGGCGUAAUGAUGGCCAGGCUGUCUCCACCCGAGACUCAGUGAAAUUGAACUCGCUGUGAAGAUGCAGUGUACCCGCGGCAAGACGGAAAGACCCCGUGAACCUUUACUAUAGCUUGACACUGAACACUGGUCCUUGAUGUGUAGGAUAGGUGGGAGGCUUUGAAGCGUGGACGCCAGUCUGCGUGGAGCCAACCUUGAAAUACCACCCUUUAAUGGCUGGUGUUCUAACGUAGACCCGUAAUCCGGGUUGCGGACAGUGUCUGGUGGGUAGUUUGACUGGGGCGGUCUCCUCCCAAAGAGUAACGGAGGAGCACGAAGGUUGGCUAAUCCUGGUCGGACAUCAGGAGGUUAGUGCAAUGGCAUAAGCCAGCUUGACUGCGAGCGUGACGGCGCGAGCAGGUGCGAAAGCAGGUCAUAGUGAUCCGGUGGUUCUGAAUGGAAGGGCCAUCGCUCAACGGAUAAAAGGUACUCCGGGGAUAACAGGCUGAUACCGCCCAAGAGUUCAUAUCGACGGCGGUGUUUGGCACCUCGAUGUCGGCUCAUCACAUCCUGGGGCUGAAGUAGGUCCCAAGGGUAUGGCUGUUCGCCAUUUAAAGUGGUACGCGAGCUGGGUUUAGAACGUCGUGAGACAGUUCGGUCCCUAUCUGCCGUGGGCGCUGGAGAAUUGAGGGGGGCUGCUCCUAGUACGAGAGGACCGGAGUGGACGCAUCACUGGUGUUCGGGUUGUCAUGCCAAUGGCACUGCCCGGUAGCUAAAUGCGGAAAAGAUAAGUGCUGAAAGCAUCUAAGCACGAAACUUGCCCCGAGAUGAGUUCUCCCUGAGACCUUGAGUCUCCUGAAGGAACGUUGAAGACGACGACGUUGAUAGGUCGGGUGUGUAAGCGCAGCGAUGCGUUGAGCUAACCGAUACUAAUGAACCGUGAGGCUUAACCUUACAACGCCGAAGCUGUU
rnacentral:rRNA from 1 species